rnacentral:rRNA from 1 species
UACGUAGGUGACAAGCGUUGUCCGGAUUUACUGGGCGUAAAGAGCGCGCAGGCGGUCGUUCAAGUCGAGUGUGAAAGCCCCCGGCUCAACUGGGGAGGGUCAUUCGAUACUGAUCGACUCGAAGGCAGGAGAGGGAAGUGGAAUUCCCGGUGUAGUGGUGAAAUGCGUAGAUAUCGGGAGGAACACCAGUGGCGAAGGCGGCAUUCUGGACCAAUACUGACGCUGAGGAGCGAAAGCCAGGGGAGCAAACGGG